rnacentral:rRNA from 1 species
AGCUCCAAUAGCGUAUAUUAAAGUUGUUGCAGUUAAAAAGCUCGUAGUUGGAUUUGUGGUUUACACAAGGCUUCCGGCCCGCUUGGGUUUCGGUGUUGCCUGGUGUUGCCAUCCUUGGGUGGAACCUAUGUGGCAUUAGGUUGUCGUGUAGGAGAUGCCCAUCGUUUACUGUGAAAAAAUUAGAGUGUUCAAAGCAGGCUUACGCCGUUGAAUAUAUUAGCAUGGAAUAAUAAUAUAGGACCUUGGUACUAUUUUGUUGGUUUGCGCACCGAGGUAAUGAUUAACAGGGUCAACUGGGGAUAUUCGUAUUCCGCUGUCAGAGGUGAAAUUCUUGGAUUUUUGGAAGACGAACUACUGCGAAAGCAUUUAUCAAGGAUGUUUUCAUUA